UUUUAUGAUGAACCAACAAUCAGAGCAAGAAGUAAUAUUUUUACUGAAAUGUAGGUGACUCCGAGGGAACGACACAUGCUCUUUUUUAAAGUUCCAUCUGACAGUGUUCUGGAAGGUCUAUUUUAAGAGAAUAAUGGGAAUAAUUUAACUCUUUGGGAGUUUUAUUGAAUGCUUACUGUUCUAUUUGGAGGUUUAAAUGAGAUUUCGGGAUGAGUUCUCCACUGCCCUUGAACUUCUUUCAGAAAAUUCAAAAGGAUCCUAGAAUAGCCUUUGCAGUGAUAAAUGACUUUUGAUGUCGUCGACUUGAUGAAGACAGGUUGAUAGUGAAGUCUUCAUGUGAGACCUCUAGAAAUUGCACACUAAGAAAAAGAAACUGGUGCAAAUGAAGGAAAUCCGUUUCAAGAACCAAAAGAAGAAAAAAAAACGUUAAAAAAUUAACUGCGGAAACAGGAAACACUCGACUGUGUAAACAUUUUCGGAGACUUUCAUAAUCAAAACUGGGCGAUCUUGAGAUUUGCAAGGAGAUCCACAGGCUCAAGGCCUAUACCAUGUGUCUUCUGAAACUCCCAACUCCAAACUGUUCGGAAAAGAGUAGAAGAACGUAGGACCACCCCUGCGAGCUUACUCUGCAAGUCGCACUGUACCUCCAGAAACCCCAACAUCUGCACGUAUGAAUAUUGAAGCGAAGCAGUACGGUUGGGUCUCAGGUAUCAACCAGAAGAAGUUGCUGAUGACCCAUUGACUGACGAUUUUCGAGGUCUAUUGGCAAAGGAAGGCUGGUGGUUACCGCCGGGGCUGCUGCUGGUUCCAUUCAUCGUGCUGGAAAUGUGAGGGAACUGAGGGUGGGGAGACUGGACCGGGGUGCUGGGGCUCGGCAAACAAGAAGAGGUGGAGGGGACGCCUCCUGCUGGGCUGUUGGCCUUGUCACUCCCAGAGUCACUUUCCAGUUCUCCAGCGUUUGUCAGUCCAUCUCUCUGGUGACUGAUCUUCAUUCUUUUACAAGUAGGUCGAACUCUGUAUUUCAAAGGAAGCGGACCAUUCUGCAAAGUCAAAAGGAGAAACAAAAACAAAAACAAAAACCUGAGUCCUCUUUAAAUACAGUUCACCACAAUAAUCUUCAAGUAUUAGAUAUGCCACUCACCCGUCUCCAGGUAUAAAUGUAAGCAAUAUCCAUUAGUGUAUAGUAAUCCUUUAAAGGCUCCUCUUCAUACAUGACAUCAAUCUAUUGAAAAAUAAUAGUUCAGUUAUUAAGUAGCAUAAAGAAUAAAAAUAAAUCUAGA